AGCGGCAAAAGCUCAAAUUUGAAAUCUGGUACCUUCGGUGCCCGAGUUGUAAUUUGGAGAGGGCAACUUUGGGGCCGUUCCUUGUCUAUGUUCCUUGGAACAGGACGUCAUAGAGGGUGAGAAUCCCGUGUGGCGAGGAGUGCGGUUCUUUGUAAAGUGCCUUCGAAGAGUCGAGUUGUUUGGGAAUGCAGCUCUAAGUGGGUGGUAAAUUCCAUCUAAAGCUAAAUAUUGGCGAGAGACCGAUAGCGAACAAGUACAGUGAUGGAAAGAUGAAAAGAACUUUGAAAAGAGAGUGAAAAAGUACGUGAAAUUGUUGAAAGGGAAGGGCAUUUGAUCAGACAUGGUGUUUUGUGCCCUCUGCUCCUUGUGGGUAGGGGAAUCUCGCAUUUCACUGGGCCAGCAUCAGUUUUGGUGGCAGGAUAAAUCCAUAGGAAUGUAGCUUGCCUCGGUAAGUAUUAUAGCCUGUGGGAAUACUGCCAGCUGGGACUGAGGACUGCGACGUAAGUCAAGGAUGCUGGCAUAAUGGUUAUAUGCCGCCCGUCUUGAACCACGGA
rnacentral:rRNA from 1 species